AAUCAGUCAUGCUAAUUACAAAAAUUCAAGCUCGGGGUGUUAGAUUCUGCACUCCCUGCACAAGAUAAGGAUAUAAUAGAACAUCAAAAUUAUACAUUCUAAGUAGAUCACGAUCAAUGUCGAACUUGUUUGUGUUAGUUUUUCCCCUAAAAGGCGGCAUGAGAAUUCUGUCCUCUUACCUUCCAGGGGAUUUGUUCAACAUAUGAAAGCCAUUUAACUGACUUUAAUCCAUUCCUAAGUUAGCAAGAUCACAGUCGGCAGCCUGAUUAUACAAGUGGAUAGUGGCCAAUAGAAGUUACUACUAUCUACAGGGAGGAGAGAGCAAUAUGGGAAAUUCCAUUUGAUUAAGCAAAAAAAGAGGGUGAUUAUUUUGUAAGUCUCCUCUCAUUACUUAUAGAUCGAUAAAGCUCUUAAUCUUAGAACUAUUUCACGUUACCAUAAAACCUUUUUUGAAUUACAUAUGUGAUAUAGAUUGAAUGGAACACGACCAACCGUUACAUCUUUCUCAAACUAGUUUAAUAGUUGUUGAAGUUGUUCAUGGAAUUUUUAUGUUGGAUGAACAAUAAUGUCACGGCCCGACCAGAGGCCCUGUCCGCGACGGGCAUCUCGAACCACAACCCGCUAGUGAUAUUAUCUGCUCUGGGCCUAGGCCCGCACGGCUUUAAAGUAAGGUUUUCUCACUUAUAUACCCAGCAUCCCUCUUGUGUUUUGCCGAUGUGGAACUCCUUGUAUUACAAAUAAUUUUUGAUUGAGGAGGGAUUUCAUCAAGGCAUAGUGGUUAAAUUAUCCAUGGGAUCAUUAGAUUUGCCAAUUUUAAGAUCAAUUUUGCCUAAGUUCCUCUGCGUUAAGGGAUAUUGUCCCGUCAUGUUGCUAGUUCAAUAUGAUGAUUUUGUAGCUACAUUAUCAAGAGCAAUGAAUUAUUUCAGGCAAAGAUAUUCAAACUAGGGUUUUCCCCUAGAUAAACUGAGGAAACUUCACGUGCAGCAGUAUUGAUCUCGUUUCCAAAACUUCUGGACGAAUGUUUUUGCUAAGAGGUCUUAGCUUUCCAUUGCUUCGGCAGUAGGAAAACUUACGGUUGUGGACAAGUGAGGUCUAGUCCUAGCAUGACUAGGGAUGGGGGUGUCCUCGACGUACAAAACAAGCAUCCCGAUCUUAUUCAACUUUAAGCUAUGGACUUUUUACAGGCAUAAUCAUUGAGGAGUUUCGGGAGGUAGUGUUAUAUAAAAUUCCUCAACACUGCACCCAUUUUAAGUAUCAAAUUCAUAAUGAAAAGAAGUGCCUAUGUUAAGUGGAAAAAUGUGGUGGUUCAAAAAAGAAGAUGAUAUGGUGGUAAAGAUUGAGGAUGCUUCGGUUGAGAAAUUGCUGGAAGAAGCAACAACAAAAGAGAGACAACAUGACAGAGAUUCCAAUAGGUCGAGCAUUGGCAGGGUGUCAGAGAACCUAGCUAAAAGCUCACAGGCUGGAACAAGAUUUUGUUCUAGAUGUGUCCUAAUCUGAAUGGGAAUGAGGGUAGUCUAUCGGGUAAUAAUAAGAGGAAGUCCAUUCUAUUAGUGGCAAUAAAAAUCAGGUGGUUAUGGUUUGGCUGGCUUACGCAAACAAUCUGUUAGUCCUCGAAUUGGCAAAAAAAAUUAAUGUGACAACUGAACAAGGCUGAUACAAACCUUAGGAGAACUACACCCAAAAGCUAGCUAUUAAGAUGGGAGAGCCCAAGGCUAUAUAAGCCCCGCAUCAACUUCCCAUUUAACCGAUGUGGACUCAAGUCCCACACCUUGUAAUAGGAUCAUAUCAAACCACCACACUCCGCAUCUGUCGUUCUCGACGGCUUCACUCUAGGUAGCUUUUGUUAUAUUCCGAAUACGAAAUCUGUAUAUUACAAUAUAAACUUGGCGAAAUGGUCUCUUGGACAAUAGUACUUGUCCUGAUUUGUAAAAUAUACACUUCUACUUACACUUUUGUCAUCUGGACCUUUUAACCCACCAAAACAAAGUAUUUUAACACUUUUACCUAUCAAAACAUAAUAUUUUACACUCAUUUUUCAUCCAAUUAAUAUGAACGUAAUACACUCAUUUACAUGUGGCAUGCCACAUCAUUUUAAAUGACACAUAGAAAAUAAAUAUUCAAAAUAUAUAUAAAAUAUAAAUAAUACUUUAUAAAAAAAAAUACUCCCCCACCCCCGCCCCCCUCAUUCUUGUCUUCUUCCUACCAUCAUCAAUCCAACAAUGGAGAAUUCAAUUUAUCCAUAUUUCCUCAUAAAAAGAGCACAAAGUUCAUGCCAAGUAAGUAGAAUUUUUUUUCUAAUUUGACUUAGAAAUUUCAAUUAUAUGUUCAUAAAUACAAACUCCAAUAAAUUACAAUUAUAAUUUUGGAUUGAUUUCACAAAUUCACAAGACUCAUUUCCUAUUCUUCAAGGUUAUUUAAGCUUAUUAAUGAAGUUAUUCAAUACCCACCAUUAUACCCAUAUUCAUACUUCCUCUUUGAAUCCAACUAACACAAACAAUGAUUUGAACUUUUUCAAAAUUUAAAAUAUUAAAAAUUUAGAUAAAGAGGAGUACAUUUGGAUUAUUGAAAACAAAAUAAUUUUAUGAUUCUUCUUUUUGGAUUUUCGGUCAUCAAUUAAAGAGGAAGGGAGAGAGAAUUAGGGUGAAGAAGAUGAAGUAGAGAAGAAAGGAAGAGAGAGUUCGGGUUAGUGGGGUGAAGAAGAUCAAAUAGAUUUNNNNNNNNNNNNNNNNNNNNNNNNNNNNNNNNNNNNNNNNNNNNNNNNNNNNNNNNNNNNNNNNNNCAAUGAAGAAGAAAAGUUUUUUUUUAAUGUACACAAUUUUAUAAAAAAAAUUAUAGGCAAAUUUUUUGACACCACCACAAUGCGUUUUUCAAAAUCAUCAACUUAAUGUCACAUAUGCAAAAAUGGGUUUAAAAUAUUCACUUUUAAUAGGUUAAAGGAUCCAGAUGACAAAAGUGUAUGUAGAAGUGUCUACUUUACAAACCAGCACAAGUACAAGGGUCCAUCGAGCCAUUUCGCCUAUAAACUUCAACACUAAAUUUAAGAACUACAAUGAAGUUCCGACAAAUUCAUACACAAGUUCAAAUCAACUAUCAAAAUGAAGUUUGUCUCAACUUUAAGAAUUGAAGGUGAAAUGGAAAAAGAUAGAAUCAAGUCCACCGAAUUCACGGUGUAUCCUUAAGAAAUUUAUUCCCCUCAAGUACCCGAGGUUAAUUGAAUCUUUCUUCCCAGGAUAAAAUGAUUCCCUUCAGAAGAUAACGGUACCUCAAAUUUGUUGAAAUUUUGAACUCACUCAAUGAUUUAAUGAUCACACGAGAGUUUUUAGAACAAAAAAUAGAUGUUUUUUAACUCAAAAACGUACAUUUACCUGAAGAAAAGUUCAGGUAUUUAUUGCCAAAAGGUGUUGCUUCGGAAGGAAAGCAAUAGUUCACAAAAAGAGAACUUUCUGAAAUGUCAUUCCACCUACGCCUGGUCUGCAUUGGACCUACGGCCGCAGGUGAUAUUUUGCACAUUAUAGUGAGGUCUGCGCUACACCUGCGCCUGCAGGUCACAAGGUGCACACGCAAAUGACUUUUUCACCCGAAACAAUGUGUUUCUUGCAUCGAAGGAUCACAUCCCUUCGAGGUGCGUUGUGAUUGCGUUCGCACUGUGUCCGCAAAUGGAGAAAAAUAUUUCUAUUUGAUUUUUGGAGUAAAACUUCUCUUAUUUAAGUUUCAAAUAAAGUUUAUCCAAAAAAUUAAUCUCUCGAUCAUUUGAAAAAUUCAAAUUUAAAGUCGAAUCCCAUUGUGAAUCCAAAAUCGGCGAAGCCGAAGUCGAGCGAGCGACGACGACGACACGAGGCAUCUCUUGUUCUUGUCUCACCAUCCACACGAAAGAAUGCUUCUCAAUAUAAGCAUAAGAAAAUUUCUUUCUCCCACUAAUGUGAGAGAACUUUACUUCUUUAAAUUGAUAGUGCAGUUCACUUUUCCCUACUGUUCCCUUCAUUUUCUAUUCACAUAUUCACUUAGAAACAAACAAUCCCCUAUACGUGAAUGGAGAAUGACUGUCUUAUAAAAAAAUUUACGAACAAGUGUGUGAUCAACAAGUAAAGACUAAUUGCAUCUGAAUAAGUAGGUUUUUCUUUGAACUUUUCGUAGUGAAAUUGCAUCGAAAGCACUUGGUCAAUCGGUAGGUGUGAUAUCUUUGUACUGUUGAACUUUAAUGUACACCUAGACAACAUAAGUCAUACAACCAGCCUUUUACCGUUUAUGAUUCUCACAAUUUUAUUCGUUUCAGCCAUGAACACGACGUGGUUUCAUUAAAAUUUAGAGAAUAGGCCGUUACUAUCAUUCUCCUUAAAGCGGCUUCCACUUCACCCCUACAUAGGUGAUUUUUAAACGUUUAAUCCUUUAAAUCAAACUAUUUGGUCAAACCUACCAAACUUAGAAAUCAUCAAAAUGCUUUAAACCAUAAGUCUUAUCCUUGUUUUCUGAACAUUGUCUUCAUCAUGAGAAUGAGUUCAGUAUAUUGACAAUGUGGAACUAUCAGUCACAACUUUGUUUGAUCUCCUUGAACUUAGAUCUUGGAAUCUCUAUUCUGCUAGGUAGAGUUACUGCCACGAUGAAUUGUCCUAGGCCUUAAACCUAUAUUCUUCGAUCAUCUCUCAACUCUCUCUCUAAAUAGACUUUUUGUAAGUGGAUCCGACACAGUAUCCUUUGACUUCACAUAGUCAAUCGUGAUAAUUCUACUAGAGAGUAGUUCUCUAAAGGUAUUAUAUCUCCACCUUAUAUGGCGAGAUUUACUAUUGUGAAUCAUGCUCCGUGCCCUAUCUAUUACCAUUUGACUAUCAUAAUGUAUACAUACAGGAACCAAAUGUUUGGGCCAAUAAGAAAUAUCUUCCAAAAACUUUCGGAGUCAUUCAGCUUCUUCAUCAACUUUAUCUAACGCGAUAAAUUCAGAUUUCACUGUAGAGUGGGCAAUACAUGUCUGUUUGAAUGAUUUUCAAGAGAUUGCUUCUCAUCCUAAAGUAAAUACACAUCCACUGAUAGAUUUUACUUUAUUCGAUCCGGUGAUUCAAUUUGCAUUACUAUAUCCUUCGAUUAUCGUUGGAUAUUUGUUAUAAUGCAAAGCAUAGUCUUGAAUGUAUUUUAGAUAACCCCAAAACUCUUUCCAUUGCCAUCCAAUGAGUUUGACUAAGAUUACUCGUGUACAGACUCAAUUUACUAAUAGCACAUGUUGUGUCUGGUCGCAUAUAAUUCAUUAUAUACAACAAACUUCUCGACACUCUUGUGUAGUCCAACUGUAAGUCAUUUUCACCUUCAUUCUCUUAAAGUGCAAAGCUCACGUCUAAUGGAGUCUUGGCAAUAUUGAAGUCCAAAUACUUGAACUUGUCAAGUACUUUUUCAAUGUAAUGAGACUGUUGUCAACCUUUGUGAAGUUCUAUGAAUUCUUAUCUCUAAGAUCACAUCAGCAACUUUGAGGUUUUUUGUAUCAAACUUGCUCUCAAGUAUUUAUUUGAUUGCACUUAUAUCAGAAAUGUAUCUACUUAUGAUCAACAAAUCAUCUACAUACAAACAAAGAAUGACUUUGUGAUUUGGAGUGUCAUUAAUGUAAACACAUUUAUCACAUUCAUUUAUCUUGAAAUCAUUUGUCAACAUGGUUUGAUCAAACUUUGCAUGCCACUGUUUGAGUGCUUGUUUUAGUACGUAAACUGACUUAACAAGUUUGCACACUUUCUUUUCUUUACCAUGAAGCACAAAACCCUCAGGUUGUUCUAUGUAAAUUUCUUCAUUCAAUUCUCCAUUUAAGAAUAUCAUUUUCACAUCCAUUUGAUGGAUUUCAAGAUCAUAUAACGCCGCUAAUGCAACCAACAUCUGAAUGAGCAUUAUCCUUAUUACAGACGAGUAUGUAUCAAAAUAAUCAAGACAUUAUUUUGGUAUAAAGCCUUUCACAACAAGUCUGUCUUGUAUUUGUCAAUAGUACCAUCAACUUUCAUUAUCCUAGAGGAAGAUCAACCAACUUCUAAGUGUGGUUGCUCAAGAUUGAAUCAAUCUCAUUAUUGACUGCCUCAUUUCAAAAGGAUGAGUCCGAAGAUGACAUCGCAUCUUUAAACGUCUAAGGCUCAUUUUUAAGAAGAAAUAUUAUAAAAUUUGAUCCAAAGGGUUGACAUUCUUUGACUUGUACUACGUCUUGGAUUCUCAUAAUUAAGUACAUUCUUGUUUGGUUCAUUUCGAAGUGGUUUAGAACCUUCACAGGACUGCUCAUGUACAGUUUUAUAUGAAUAAAUGUGUUCAAAGAACGCAGUAUUAUCUAAUUCAAAUAUCGCGGUUUCAAUGAUAUCCGGAUGUUUGGAUUUAUGAACCAAAAAUCGACAUACUUUACUACUUUUAGCAUAUCCGAUGAACACAAACUCCACAGUCUUAGAUCUUGUUUUUACCCUUUUAGGCAUAGAAACUUGCACUUUUGUUAGACUCUCCCACACUUUAAAAUAUUUUAAGUUAGGUUUCCUUCCUUUUCAUUUUUCAUAAGAAAUAAAAUGAGUCUUACUAUGGGGCAUUCUAUUGAGUAUUUGAUUUGUUGUAAGGAUAGCUUCCCCCCCCCCCUCCCCCCGCCCCCAAGUUUUGCGGCAAACUUGAAUUAUGAGUGAGGCAUUCAUUAUUUCCUUUAAUGUUUGAUUUUUCUUUUUUACAAUUCCAAUUGAUUGAGUGAAUACGGGGCAGUAAUUUGAUGGACAAUUUCAUUUUUUAAAUAUAUCUCUGCAAAAGGAAAUUCAUACCCUCCACCCCCUAUCACUUCCUAUAGUUUUGAUCUUUUUAUCCAGUUGAUUUUUAACUUCUGUUUAUAUUGCCUAAAUGCGUCUAUUGCUUCACCCGUACAAUUUAGCAAAUAAACAUAAUUAUAUCUUAUGUAAUCGUCAAUAAAAGUUAUAAAAUACUUUUUUCCACCAUGAGAUGAUGUUGACUUCAUAUCAUAAAUGUUUGUAUGAAUUAAGUCUAAGGUAUUGGAAUUUCUUUCAACAGGCUUAUACAGAUGCUUAGCAUACUUUGAUUCCACACAUUUUUGACACUUUGAUUUAUUGCACUCUAGGUUAGGUAAAAAAUUUAAAUUAAUCCGAUUUCACAAGGUUUGUAAUUGAUAUUUCCUAAACGUUCAUGCCACAAUUCAUUUGACUCAAGUACAUAAGAAGAAAUAGAACUUUUAUUGAUUUCAACAGUCAUUACAUAGAUCUUAAAAAGGCAUUCUGUGAGGUAACCUUUACCUACAUACACUUUUCCUUUAGUAAUUACAACUUUAUCAGAAACAAAUACACAUUAAAAUCUAUCUUUGGUCAGAAGUGAAGUAACCAAGUUCUUUCUCAACCCUAGAACAUGAAGGACAAUGUUCAGUGUCACCACUUUGCCUGAUGUCAUCUUUAAAUAAACUCUUCCCGUUCCUUCAACUUUUGUUGUUGCGGACUUACCCGUAAAAAGUAGCAUACGAUGCAAAUAACUCUUUGUUGGCACAUACGUGGCAGGUGGCACCAGAAUCAAUCCACUACUUUUUAGGAUUAUCAACUAAAUUACAUUCUUAAAGCAUAGCGUAUAGAUCAUCCACUUCAUCUUUGGAUUCAGCCAUGUUAGCUUGAUCCUUCUUCUUGUCUUUCUCAAGGGCCCGACAACCUGUCGACAUGUAGCCAACCUUGCCACAAUUAACAUAACUUUUUUUGAAUUUCUUAUUCGAAGGAUUGCUUUGUUGUCCAGACAAUUUCUUUCAUUUCUUUGAUCUGUUAGGGUCAUCCUCCACAAUAUUUGCUCCACUAAUUAUAGAAUUUCCUUUUGACCUCUUCUCGGUUGCUUUGUUUAUCUUCUUUAAUACGUAACUCACUAUGAGGUCUUCAACUGACAUCUCCUUUUUGUUAUGCUUCAAGUAGUUUUUGAAGUCUUUUUACAAAGGUGGUAACUUCUCUAUUAUAGCCGCUACUUGAAAAGCCUCAUUCACAAUCAAACCUACAUCAACGAUUAAUUGAUUAUAAAAAACAAACUUAAUAUAUUCAAUCAAGGUAUUUACUAUGUUCAUACCUUCCGCUAGGAGAUCAUGGAUGAUUACUUGCAGUUCUUGAACUUGAGAGACGAUAGUCUUAUUGUCUAUCAUCUUAAAGUCAAGAAAUCUUACAACAAUGAUUUUUUCAUUCCAGAAUCCCCAGUUUUAUAUUCCUUUUCCAAAGCACCCACAAUUCUUUCGAGAUUUUCAUACUGUUGUACACAUUGUACAAAUCAUCUUGAAGGCCACUUAAUAUAUAGUUCUUACAUAAGAAAUUCAAGUGUUUUCAAGCCUCUAUUACAAUAAAUCAUUCCUUGUCCGGUGUUUCUUCGCCAAUUUUGGGGCGUUUUUAGAGAUGAAUCUUUGAAGACUUAAAGUAGUCAAGUAAAAGAAUAUCUUUUGUUGUCAACAUUUAAAAUCUACACUUGAAAUUUUUUUGAAUUUUUCCGUUGCUGCCAUAGCUGGUGCAACACUUGAACGGUUUGAAAAUAGCAAUAGUUGUUGCUGCAACACUUGUCAUUCCAUCAUUGGCAUGGAGAUAUUCAACAGAUAUUUUUGUUCUCAUAAACAGACAGCCAAUUUAGUAUGUCAGAAUACUAACUAUAAAGUUCUAAAAACUUCAACACCAACUUGUUUCUAGUUUAAAAAUGAAGUUUUUAUGUUCUUUUAAUCGUAAACUGAAUAAAUUUUAACUCAUGAUGAAGUUUUUAUAUCUUCAAAUAACUAGUACGUUCAAACAAAUCCAAAAUAAAGAUUAUAACAUAAAUUACUUAAGAUGGUUAUUUUGCGGAUAUAAAAUCUGUAUAUUUCAAUAUGAACUUCAACACUAAGUUCAAGAUUAACUUCAAGAAUAAAAAUAAAGUUCUAACAACUUCAAACACAAGUUCAAAUGAAUAAUCAAAUAAACAAUUAAAAUGAAGUUCAUAUCAACUUAAAGAAAUUAAGAUGAAGCAGAAAAGCAUAUAGAAUCAAGUCCACCAAAUUCACGGUGUCCUUAAGAAAUUUAUUUUCCUCAAGUACCAGAGGUUAAUGGAAUCUUUCCUUCUUGGAUAAAAUAAUUUACUUCAAAAAAUAGUGGUACCUGAAAUUUUCUGAAACUUCGGACUCAUUCAACGAUUAGAUGAUCACAUGAGAGUUUUUAGAAGAAAAAAAUAUUUUUAAUUCAACUCAAAAAUUGUACCUUUGCCUGAGGAAAAGUUCAGGUAUUUAUAAUCAUAAAGUGUCCCUUCAGAAAGGAAGUAAUGGUUCUCGAACAGAGAUAACUUUUCUAAAAUGUCAUGGCACUUACGCUGGACCUGCGACUGCAGGUGACGUUUUGCACAUUCCAGUGAGGUUUACGCUACACCUGCACCCGCAGGUCACCAGGUGUGCGCGCACGUCAAUUUUUCGCCUGAAACAGCGUGUCUCUUGCCUCGAAGGUUCACAUCCCUUUGAGGUGCAUUGUGAUUGCGUUCGAAAUGUGUCCGCAAAUGGAGAAAAUUACGUCUAUUGAAUUUUUGGAUUAAAACUUCACGUACUUUCAAGUUUUGAAUAAAUCUUAUCAAAAAAUUAAUCUAUCGAUUAUUUGAGAAAUCCAAAUUUGAAUCUGAAGUCGAGCCAAGCGAGCGAUGACAGCAUCACGAGGUAUCUCUUGUUCUUGUCUCACUAUCCACGUGAAGAAAUGUUUCUCAAUAUAAGCACAAGAAAACUUCUUUCUCCCACCAAUGUGGGAGAACUUCCUUCCUUAAUGUGAAAGUUCGCUUCACUUUUCCUUCCAAUUUUUCCCCUUCAUUUUCCAAUCAUAUAUACACUUAAAACCCAAUAGCUUUCACUCUACUUGAGUAGGUAGAUCUUUCUCAGGUAGCAUUUUUUAGUCACAAUGGCCAUGAAGGAUGAUGGGUGACUAAAAAAAAUUUGAUGAAGCUAUCUGGGAAACAGCCCAAGGCUAGCUAUUAAAGUGGGAGAGCUCAAGCAUAUAAGCCCCAUAUUAGCUUCCCAUUUAAUCGAUGAGGGACUCAAUAGAACCAUAACAGAGGCCUUGCAACAAUGGACAUUGUGUAGCCUGACACUUUUGAAGCUAUUUCAUAUAGAUUGAAGCACCAAUGAUUGAAGCAUGUCUAUUUGCUUCUGUAUCAUCAACAGUUUUCACAAGAAUAAUGUCUCUAAAAACUGCUAAAGAAGUAUGGGAUUAUCUUAAUGAAGAGUAUGCUGGAGAUGAGAGAAUAAAAGGUAUGCAAGUUUUAAACUUAAUUAAGGAAUUUGAAUUGCAAAAAAUGAAGGAAUCUGAAACAGUGAAGCAGUAUUCAGAUAAACUUCUUAAUAUUGCAAAUAAAGUGAGGCUACUUGGCUUUAUACUUGCCGACUCAAGAAUUAUUGAGAAGAUUCUGGUAACAGUUCCUGAAAGGUAUGAAGCAACAAUUACGACCUUUGAAAAUAUUAAGGAUUUGUCAAAAAUUAGUUUGACGGAGUUGCUCAAUUCCCUGAAAGCUCAAGAGAAAAGAAGACUCAUGAGACAGGAUGUUACAACAGAAGGGGCUCUAGUCAGUAAGAACCAGGUUGACGAAUUUUCGAAGAAGAAAAAGAAUCAAGCGUUGAGUGAAGGAGAAACAUCAACCAACAACAAAGGUAAGGGAGGAAGUACGAAAAACUUUCCCCCUUGCCAUCACUGUGGAAGAAAAUGCCAUCCACCAUUCAAGUGUUGGAGGAGACCAGAUGCUAAAUGUAAGAAAUCCAAUCAACUUGGACAUGAGGCGGUGAUUUGCAAAAGUAAAGCCCCGCAGCAGGAAGAAAAUGCUCAAGUUGUUGAUCAAGAAAAGGAGGAUCUUUUUUUUGUUGCAACAUGCUUCUCAAGUAAGAUCUCAACAGAUUCUUAAUUAAUUGAUAGUGGGUGCACUAAUCACAUAACUCAUGACAAGAGCCUAUUCAAGGAGUAGAAGCCCACUAAAAUUUUCAAGGUUAGGAUAGGAAAUGGGACCAUCUUCAUGUCAAAGGAAUUGGAACCAUAGCUAUCAAGACUGACACAGGCAUAAAGAAAAUUGCUGAAGUUCUUUAUGUUCCUGAGAUUGAUCAAAACUUGCUAAGUGUAGGACAUCUGAUAGAAAAAGGAUUUAGACUUUUCUUUGAAAAUGAUCACUACCAAAUCAGUAACACUACUGGAAAUGAAAUUUUCAAGGUGAAGAUGAGAGGAAGGAGUUUUUUCUUUAGUCCAACAAAGAAGGAGCAACUUGCUUAUUACAUGAAGGUAGAUGUAACGGAAAUCUGGCACAAGAGACUUGGUCACUGUCAUCUACAAACAUUAUUGUUACUGAAGAAAGAGGAUAUGACAAGAGGACUUUCAACUCUCGUUGAUCACUUACCAAGUUGUCAAGCUUGUCAAUUUGGUAAGCAGAAUAGGAAACCAUUUCCUAAAGCAUCGUGGCGCGCUUCUCCAAGAUUGCAAUUGAUUCACACAGAUGUUGCAGGACCUCAAAGAACACCGUCCUUUAAUGGUAGUCUUUACUAUGUUAUAUUCAUUGAUGACUAUACAAGAUUCUGUUGGAUUUUUUUCAUGAAAUACAAAUCAGAGGUGGCUGGAAUAUUAUGGAAGUUCAAGAAGAUGGUGGAAAAUCAAAGAGGUUGCAGAAUCCAAUCCUUGCGUUCUGAUAAUGGAAAAAGUACUACUCCGUACACUCUGCAACAAAAUGGAGUUAGUGAAAGGAAGAACAGGUAUAUAAUGGAGAUGACGCGGUGCAUGUUGCAUGAAAAAGAGUUGCCAAAAAGGUUUUGGGCUGAGGCAGCUAAUACAGCAGUAUUUCUCCAAAUCGGCUUCCCAGUAAAGCGUUGGAGAGUAAAACUCCAUUUGAGGCUUGGAAUGGAUUCAAACCAUCUCUAACCUUCAUUAAAGUAAUGGUUGUGUUUGUCUCUUUCAUGUGCCGCAGGUUAAAAGAGACAAACUUGAUAAAAGGGCCACCCCGGGAAUCUUUGUGGGUUAUAGCUCAUCCUCCAAAGCCUACAAAAUUUAUGAUCCACAAACAGGGAAGAUGAUUAUUAGUCGAGAUGUGCACUUCAAUGAAGAAGAGAAAUGGGAUUGGAAAAAUAAUCAACUUUCAGUCAAAGCUUCGGAGAAGCAAACAUCCGAUCAAUGGUAAAAUGAGUUAGUAGAUGAUCCUCCAGUUAGAGGUACAAGAUUACUUUUUGACAUCUACCAACAAAGUAAUGUGGCAGUUUGUGAGCCUGCAGGGCACAAGAAUGCGCUUCAAGAUGAAAAAUAGAGAAACGCGAUGGAGCAGGAGAUGCUAAUGAUCAAGAAAAACAACACUUGGGAGUUAGUUGACAGACCGAAAGAUAAAAAGGUCAUUGAAGUAAAAUGGGUAUUUAGAACCAAGCUUAAUUUUGACAGUUCUAUCAACAAAUACAAGGCUAGGCUUGUCGUCAAGGGAUAUGCCCAAAUAUUUGGUGUUGAUUACUCGGAUAUCUUUGCUCCAGUAGCCCAACUAGAUACCAUCAGAAUGUUGCUAGCAAUAGCAGCACAAAAGGGUUGGAAAGUGUUCUAACUAGAUGUCAAAUCUGCUUUUCUAAAUGGUGUAUUGCAGGAAGAAAUCUAUGUAGAGCAGCCCGAGGGUUUCAUUGAGCAAGAAAAAGGAGAAAAAGUUAGUCUGCUUAGAAAGGCUCUUUAUGGCUUAAAACAAGCCCUAAGAGCUUGGUAUAGCAGGAUUGAUGAUCACUUGUUGAGUUUGGGGUUUGUCCGAAGUUACUCUUUAUGUCAAACACAAGGGAACUGAUCUACUUAUUGUUUCCCUUUAUGUUGAUGAUCUCUUGGUGACAGGAAACAAUGUGCGGCCGGUUGAAUAGUUUAAGAAGAAAAUGAUGCAAGUCUUUGAAAUGACAGACCUAGAACUAAUGACAUACUUUCUAGGGAUGGAAAUCAAGCAAGGUUGCAAUGAAAUCUUUAUCUGCCAAAAGAAGUAUGCUAGGGAGAUGCUGAAGAAAUUUCCUAUGGAAAAUUGCAAGGCAACAAGCACACCGAUGAAUCCAAAGGAGAGGUUGAGCAAAGAGGAUGGAACUGAUAGAGUUGAUGAAGGAAACUUCAGAAGCUAGAUUGGAUGCUUGAUGUAUCUCAUUGCUACACGACCCGAUAUUCUAUUUGUUGUAAGUCUUUUGUCUAGGUUUAUGCAUUGUGCUACUAAAAUGCAUUUGCAUACAGCAAAAAGAAUUAUAAGUUACAUCAAAGGUACUGUCGAGUAUGGGGUCAAAUUUAAAAAAGUGUGAGAAUUUCAAGUUGUAUGGAUUCUCAGAUAGUGAUUUGGUCGGAUCCCCUAAUGACAUGAAAAGUACAUCAGGAUAUUGCUUCAGUCUGGGAUCGGGCAUUUUCUCUUGGUGUUCCAAGAAGGAGGAAAAUGUGGCACAGUCCACGGCAGAGGCUGAAUUCAUUGCAGCAACAGCAGCAGUAAAUCAAAUCUUAUGGCUGAGAAAAAUAUUUUCUGAUUUGCAUAUGGAACAAAAGGUUAAUACUGAGAUUCAUGUUGAUAAUCAAGCUGCAAUAGCUAUUUCACAUAAUUCAGUGUUUCACGGGAAGACUAAGCACUUCAACAUCAAGCUUUUUUUCUUGAAGGAUGUGCAGAAAAAAGGAUAAGUGAUUCUUAUUUAUUGCAAAUCCGAAGAUCAGCUUGCAGAUGCAUUUACGAAAUCCCUUCCUGUCAACAAGUUUAAGUUCCUAAGGCAACAACUUGGAAUUUACAGCUCCUAAUGCAAGGAGGAGUAUUAUUAGUUGCUUUAGGACUGCAGAAUUUAUUUAUUUUAUUUCCUGUAUUUCUUUUAUAAGUUAUUAGGAGGUAGUUAGCAUGGUUAGGCACCAUGACUUUAAAGUAGAGCCAUUAUCUAUUUCAAUUUUUUUAAAAAAAUACUUUAUAUAACUACUCUUGGACAGAAAGUAAAUCUCUCUGCACAAGUUUCUCUCUCUCUCUGUGAUCUUCUUCAUUCUCCUGCUUCUUUUCUGUAGUAAUCUAGAUUCUUUUCUGUAGUAAUCUAGAUAUCGUUUGCAUAGUGUUAUGUGCGAUUUGUCUAUUUAAAACUAACACAUAUGAACACAUGGGCGUUUGAGAUCCCUACUCAGUUUAUGGAGUCAUUUCAUGUUUGACAUGCUUACUCUAGGCAGCAACUAAUAUACCAGGAUGUGGAUACGAUUAUGGUCUCAACUCAAGCACAUUCAAGCAACAAGUUUUAAACAAGAGCAACCAAAAACGUGGUACAAGUGUGAAGAGUUCGAAGGGCAUGGAGGAUGCUUAUCCCCUCCAACAUAGCAAAUUGAGUACAGUA
rnacentral:lncRNA from 1 species